rnacentral:rRNA from 1 species
AGUGAACGCUGGCGGUAGGCCUAACACAUGCAAGUCGAACGGCAGCACAGUAAGAGCUUGCUCUUACGGGUGGCGAGUGGCGGACGGGUGAGGAAUACAUCGGAAUCUACUUUUUCGUGGGGGAUAACGUAGGGAAACUUACGCUAAUACCGCAUACGACCUACGGGUGAAAGCAGGGGAUCUUCGGACCUUGCGCGAUUGAAUGAGCCGAUGUCGGAUUAGCUAGUUGGCGGGGUAAAGGCCCACCAAGGCGACGAUCCGUAGCUGGUCUGAGAGGAUGAUCAGCCACACUGGAACUGAGACACGGUCCAGACUCCUACGGGAGGCAGCAGUGGGGAAUAUUGGGCAAUGGGCGCAAGCCUGAUCCAGCCAUACCGCGUGGGUGAAGAAGGCCUUCGGGUUGUAAAGCCCUUUUGUUGGGAAAGAAAAGCAGCAGGUUAAUAUCCCGCUGUUCUGACGGUACCCAAAGAAUAAGCACCGGCUAACUUCGUG